GUAGUGCAGAAGUUUUAACCCAGGACUUGGGAGGCAAAGGCAGAUGAAUUUCUGUGAGUUUCAAGCCAGUCGGAUUUACAAGGAACUUCCAAGCCAGCCAGAGCUACAUGAUACUGCACCACAGUGAGGAGAGACUGCCAUGUGUCCAAGCAAGGAGGCAGAUGCAGAGAAGCUACUGCAGAGAAGGCAAGAAUACAGGCCUCUAGACCCAGGGCAUGGGCCAGGCCAGCCCUGGCUCUGAAGCCCUCUCUCCUUCAGAAGAACAAAGAGCUAAUUAAAAAGCUAACUAUAGUAGCACUCUCCUGUGAUCUCAGCUCUGUGGAAGCAGAAACGGGAGGAUCAGAGGCGGCCCAGGACUAACUGUAUGCAUCAGUGCCUUCGGAAUCCAGAUGAAGGCAUCGGAUCCCCUGGAACUGGACGACGUGAGCUGCCAUGUGGGUGCUAUUGAACUGAGGUGCUACGGAAGAGCAACCACUGCUCUUAACCCCUGAUCCAUCUCAUCUCCCCAGCCCCCAAACUUUUAAACCUAAUGUUUCAAUAAAGUCUUGUUCCUCUUGAAAAAAAAAAAGAAGAUAUGGAGGAGUUGUGGCCUUGUUGGGAGAAGUUGUGUCACUGUGGGUGUGGACUUAAGACCCUUACCCCAGCUGCCUGGAAGUCAGUCUUCCACUAGCAGCCUUCAGAUGAAGAUGUAGAACUCUCAGCUCUGCCUGCACCAUGCCUGCCUGGAUGCUGCCAUGUCCACCUUGAAGAUAAUGGACUGAACUUCUGAACCUGUAAACCAGACCCAAUUAAAUAUUGUCUAUG
rnacentral:lncRNA from 1 species